CUGCAGAAUACAUGUUUAGAUGGCAGAAGAUGGGUGAAAAUGGAAACAGAUUCCUGCGUGGAAGUCCCAGGGUAUGAAAAAGAAGGCAGUGGUUUGAGGACCCUAAGUUUAAACAAAUCCUGUGUCUAUGGAAAGAAGUUCUACCUUUACUUGUUUUACUGAUCUGAACACUUGGAAACAAUUUUCAGCAGACCCAGAAGGCAGCUCAAGGUGGAUAUGCCAGUCCACAGACAGGUACUUCUACUGAUUUCAGAGAAAAUAUGCCAAUACAGAGAGGAAAGACACUUGUAGCACAUGGCUACAAAUCAGAACCUUGGGAAGAAAUUCAGUUCCAGGAAGCCUGUUGAUUAAAUAAAAUUCUUUUUUAUUUUGUGUGACAACUAAAAGCAAAGCAAAACAUGUUUUAGUGUGGCUUGGCACUUAAAUUUGUACAUGCAAGGAGAGAUGAAGCAAGAUUCACCUGUAAUGACUGCCUAAUCCCUAAAGUUAAGAGAAACUUCCAAGUCAAAUUCAAAGAGAGUUCAGUCAACUAGCCCAGAAUUUAAGGCAAGGAUGAAAACUAAAUUUAUUAAGAAAGUCAGAGCAAUUAAAAUGUUCCGCAUGACAUUUCGCCCAAAAAAUAUGGCAGACCAUGACAAGAAUUGUGAUAAUAGCUUUUUGUAAUCGCUUUUUUCUUUCCUUAUUCUAACUUUCUUUGCUACAGUAAGUAUUAAACAAAGUUUAAGUCAUGCUGUUUCAGAGGGCCAUUAAGUAAUGUAUGGUUGAAACAGAAAUAA